rnacentral:rRNA from 1 species
UACAGAGACUGCAAGCGUUAUUCGGAUUCACUGGGCGUAAAGGGUGCGCAGGCGGCCAUGUGUGUUAGGCGUGAAAGCCCGGGGCUUAACCCCGGAAUUGCACCUAAAACUACGUGGCUAGAGCAUUGGAGAGGGUAGCGGAAUUCAUGGUGUAGCAGUGAAAUGCGUAGAUAUCGUGAGGAACACCAGAGGCGAAGGCGGCUACCUGGACAAUUGCUGACGCUCAGGCACGAAAGCGUGGGGAGCAAAAGGG